AAUUUUAAUGGACAAAGCACCAGCGGCCUGCAAAAAUAGAAACAAAACAGAUCAAUGCCUUUAACAGAGAUGAUACAAAAUGAUUACCUGAAGUAGGAAGUGACAUAGAAACAGCUGAACCAUCACCAUUGCAGUACGAACACACAUUUACAUAUGGGCCCAGCAAUUAAAUUGCAAAGCAAAGUUUGUGUUCGUCGAAGUUAAUGUUACAGACAAACUCCAAAUCACAAGAAUCACAAAACAAUCAACACAAAUCAACACCAAAACCAAGAUAAAUCGAUUCAAUGUUCAUGAAAAACACCCAAUCGAGGCUAGCUCUCAAGAUGAGAGAACCCUAGCACUUUCAAAUCCAGAAUCUCCAAAGAGUUUACAAUUUGAUCGAUAAAUUGACAAAAAAAAUGACAAAGGCAUGAUGAAAUAGGCUGCUCGCGACGGCCAUUUCUCGCCAGCCUCACUCUGCUUGCCACGCGUCACCCUCUUAUUCGUCCUUAUUAUUCUUUAGCUUCUCACGUGCGGAGCCACACGUGUGGUUCUGUAUCAGUUAACCAGCUCACAGAAAAAACUGAGAGGUCGAGAUAUAUGAAUUUAUACCAAAAACAUCUCUAAUUUUUGCAGUUAACCAGCCCACAACACAGAUCGAUUCACUCACUGAUCUAGAACUACCCAUAAUCAAAUCUUCGAUGAGCUCAAAUCAAAAACAGAUCGAUUCACUCACAGACCAAACAGAGAAAGAGAGAGUGAGAGAGAGAGAUUUAACCAGCUUCGUCGUCGAGAGAGAGAUUUGAAUCAAGCUUCGUCGUCGAGAGAGAGAUUUGGACGCGACGAAGAAGAGGCUGCGGCAAGAGCAGCGUUAAUUUUGAUUUUAGGGUUUAGGUUAUUUUGUAAAUCUUUCAAAACAAUAAGGGUAUUUUCGUAAUUUAUCAUUUAUAC
rnacentral:lncRNA from 1 species